rnacentral:rRNA from 1 species
CCUACGGGAGGCAGCAGUGAGGAAUAUUGGUCAAUGGGCGAGAGCCUGAACCAGCCAAGUCGCGUGAGGGAGUACUGCCCUAUGGGUUGUAAACCUCUUUUGUCGGGGAGCAAAAGCCGGACGUGUCCGGCUGUGAGAGUACCCGAAGAAAAAGCAUCGGCUAAGUCCGGGCCAGCAGCCGCGGUAAUAAGGAGGAUGCGAGCGUUAUCCGUAUUUAUUGGGGUUAAAGGGGGCGCAGGCGGAUUUUUAAGUACGCGGUAAAAAGGUGGGGCUCAACCCCAUACAGCCGUUGAAACGGGUGAUCUAGAGUGUGCGAGAGGUAUGCGGAAUGCGUGGUGUAGCGGUGAAAUGCAUAGAUAUCACGCAGAACCCCGAUUGCGAAGGCAGCAUACCGGUGCACAACUGACGCUCAGGCACGAAAGCGUGGGUAUCGAACAGGAUUAGAUACCCCAGUAGUC